rnacentral:rRNA from 1 species
AUUGAACGCUGGCGGCAGGCCUAACACAUGCAAGUCGAACGCGAAAGCUCCUUCGGGGGUGAGUAGAGUGGCGAACGGGUGAGUAACACGUAGGAAUCUACCCAGGAGUGGGGGACAACCCGGAGAAAUCCGGGCUAAUACCGCAUACGCCCUACGGGGUAAAGUGGGGGACCUUUUCGGAGGCCUCACGCUUUUGGAUGAGCCUGCGUCGGAUUAGCUUGUUGGUGAGGUAACGGCUCACCAAGGCGACGAUCCGUAGCUGGUCUGAGAGGAUGACCAGUCACACUGGGACUGAGACACGGCCCAGACUCCUACGGGAGGCAGCAGUGGGGAAUAUUGGACAAUGGGGGCAACCCUGAUCCAGCCAUGCCGCGUGUGUGAAGAAGGCCCUAGGGUUGUAAAGCACUUUCAGUGGGGAAGAAAAGCCUAAGGAUAAUAUCCUUGGGUCUUGACGGUACCUACAGAAGAAGCACCGGCUAAUUCCGUG